GUAGAACACUGUUGCAGAUGGUGAUGUUACCAUUUGAAAGUAAGAAGAAAACUAGUAUCUCUUGGGUCACCAAGAGUAAAAAUAGAGAAGAUACUUACAAACUGCAACACAUAGAGUUUCUUGAAAUCACAGUUUGGGAGUGAAGGAAAAGGCUGCUUAAGUGUUUGGAAAGGGAGACUAAGGAUGAAAUAGAGUGGGGGUAUGAUGCAUUUCCUGACUGUGGUCGGCUUUCCAUGGGUGAAACAGAAAAGUCUUCAAAUAUCCUCACCAACUGCUUUCCUAGAUUUUUCAGCCAGUUACUUGACCAUAUUAGGAAAAGAAAGUUUGACAGCUGCAGUAAGCACACACAUCUGCCAUAUUGAGGUCAAGUGGUACGCUGUCAUCUAUUGCAACAGCUGUUGUUGGGGGAUCGUUUCAAGUAUCCAAAGGAUGAAUGGAAUAUAAAUGAUCACUGCAUAAAGUAUAUAAAUUUGGGUUUAUUGGUUUUGAAACUGAUUUCUUAUCAACAUACUCUGUAGUUUUUUUUUUUCCUAGUACUCCCAUGAGGCUCAGCAUGAGGUUACAAAGAAAAAAGAAAUCCUCAUCUAAUUAUCUAAAUAUUUAAGAAUGCUGAAAUCUUGCUGGCGUAACAAAUCAGUGCCAGAAAAAAGUCUUGUUAAAUGAACAGUUUCGUGUACGGUUCCUACUUAAAAUAUAUCACAAUCUGAACUUAAAAUGCACAUAUAAAACUAUAAUAUAUAGUACAUCAUAUAUGUAAUACAAUAUAUGAAAUACAUAAAACAGUAUAUUAAUAGGUCAAAUUUUAACGUUAUAUGAUAGGCCUAAUAUUGCUUUAAUAUCAUUUGUAAAGUCUUUCUAGAUCUAUGUUUUUCUCUCUCUAUCUCUAUCUCUAGAUUUGGAUCUCUGUCUCUAGGAUACACUAAUAUUACCACUUCUAAACAUCUAUCCUGGAAUAUCAGGUCAUCUACAUCUAUGUACUAUGUGUGUGUUGUCACCAUUUUGUUUCUACAAAAACAAUGCUUUUGAUCAAAGUAAACAGAAAGUUUGAGGAGUUCAUAUUAAAAUGGAAAUGUAUAAACACACAUACACAGUCCGGUAGAGCUUGUAAGUGGGUUUGUCCAAUGUGAUUAGACAUAAAGAACAUAUUUUAAGUGAAAGGAAAUUAUUGGUUAUGUGGAAGAGUUACAAAGAUACAGAGAUGUUUUGGGGGCAGCUAUCAAUAAAGGAAGGAUUAUUGUAGGUAAUCAUAUGGUUUGGCAUUGUAUAAUUUUUUCACCAUUUACCAUUCUUUGCUUGUCUGACAUCAUCACAAUCAAUCAUUAAUUUGUGAAGAAAGUUUCCACGAAUAGAAGUCCUCAACACUUAGAAUUUUUGUAACCUGCAUUUUAGUCACAUGUAGGGAGAAGAGAACUUUUAUGACAGGAUGAUGCCAUGUUUGAUUCGCUUUAUGCUAAUUCUAAAAGAAUAGAUCAUUUGAAUCUAUAUCAUAUUUGUGGAGCUCUUGGGAAUAUGCAGAUUAAUAAAGGCCAUGCUACUGAAAGUUACCUUUUGUUUCUGUUGUCUAUCCUCACUCUUCAGUGAUCUUAUCCAGUUCUCUACCUUAAAAGACUACCUAUACACUGAUGACACAAAUGUAUAUCACUGGCCCAGACUUUCCCUUAAACUCCAGGCUUCUUCAUCCAACUGCCGUGAGACAUUUCCUCGGUCAUCUAAAUGUAGAGAAUCAAGCUGUUGAUUUCUUUACCUGUCUCCCUGUUUUCACGGUCUUUCCUAUCUCAAAAAUAAAUAGAUAAAUAAAUAAAUAAAAUCGUUUGUUAAGUUCUAGCAUUUUUAAUGGGCCUCACAUUGCUAUAAUGUUAUUGUAAAGUCUUAGUGAGGACUAAAUUUAUUCAAGAGAGUGUUAUUAGAACAAGAAAAAAUGAAUAGCUUUACUGUCUUCUCUUUUACAGUAGAGCAGAUGU
rnacentral:lncRNA from 1 species